rnacentral:rRNA from 1 species
CCUACGGGAGGCAGCAGUGGGGAAUAUUGGACAAUGGGGGGAACCCUGAUCCAGCCAUGCCGCGUGUGUGAAGAAGGCCCUCGGGUUGUAAAGCACUUUCAGUGAGGAAGAACGCCUGGUGGUUAAUACCCAUCAGGAAAGAUAUCACUCACAGAAGAAGCACCGGCUAACUCCGUGCCAGCAGCCGCGGUAAUACGGAGGGUGCGAGCGUUAAUCGGAAUUACUGGGCGUAAAGCGCGCGUAGGUGGCUUGAUAAGCCGGUUGUGAAAGCCCCGGGCUCAACCUGGGAACGGCAUCCGGAACUGUCAAGCUAGAGUGCAGGAGAGGAAGGUAGAAUUCCCGGUGUAGCGGUGAAAUGCGUAGAGAUCGGGAGGAAUACCAGUGGCGAAGGCGGCCUUCUGGACUGACACUGACACUGAGGUGCGAAAGCGUGGGUAGCAAACAGGAUUAGAUACCCUGGUAGUC